AAUUGGAGCAUGCAUUGCAUGGCCUCGACACUUGGUGACCGACGACGAUGAUGAUUAAUGAAGAAGAUUGAUCGUGCUGGCUGCUGUUCUCUUUUUCCGCUGUCUCUUUUUUGGUCUUUGCCACGACAAAAUCAAUGAAAAAAACUUAGUUAUGGUUAUUUCCUCAAAAAUCUUGUGAGUUUUAUUAAGUUUUAACAUAGUUAUAGCUUUGGGGACAUACACGAGUGGUGGAGCGAAUGUAUUUCAUAAGUUCUUAAAGUUUGUUGUUUUGCAACGAGUUCAGUUGGAAAAUAUAAAUGAAUUUAGCAAUA